GAUGAACGCUGACAGAAUGCUUAACACAUGCAAGUCAACUUGAAUUUGGGUUUUUAACUUAGGUUUGGGUGGCGGACGGGUGAGUAACGCGUAAAGAACUUGCCUCACAGCUAGGGACAACAUUUGGAAACGAAUGCUAAUACCUAAUAUUAUGAUAAUAGGGCAUCCUAUAAUUAUGAAAGCUAUAAGCGCUGUGAGAGAGCUUUGCGUCCCAUUAGCUAGUUGGAGGGGUAACGGCUCACCAAGGCGAUGAUGGGUAGCCGGCCUGAGAGGGUGAUCGGCCACAAGGGGACUGAGACACGGCCCUUACUCCUACGGGAGGCAGCAGUGGGGAAUAUUGGACAAUGGACCGAGAGUCUGAUCCAGCAAUUCUGUGUGCACGAUGAAGUUUUUCGGAAUGUAAAGUGCUUUCAGUUGGGAAGAAACAAAUGACGGUACCAACAGAAGAAGUGACGGCUAAAUACGUG
rnacentral:rRNA from 1 species